AAUCAAGUCCCGGCAGGCACCUUGGAUUUACAAGUCCCAUCCUGAUGACUGCGCAAGUGCAUUACAAUCUGCGACAGAUGGGCGUGUUCAACACGUGUAGUGGGACAGAUGGAUCUGACCUUAUUAACUCAGAAAAGGUCCGCUCAGGUGAAACCUGUGAGCUGAGUAAAAAAAUGAUGAGCUGGGUUUAACUUGUGUGGGUAAAGUUGUGAGAAAUAUGUACAUUUUUUCCUCCUCAUUCACUCUGAAUGAUGCAUUUAUUUUAGGACAGUAAAUGAGCUGAUUUAAUGGUCAGGUUCUGUCCAAAACCAAAUAUCCUACACUGAAAAAACAAACAGAAAAAAAAAAAAAAAAAAAAAACAGAAAAAAAAAUCUUACCCGGUAUAUUUGUCUAAUUUGGAGUCAAACUAUCUAAUCUACACUUAAUACAUGACAAAAUUACUUAAAUAAUAUUUCAGUAUUUUAGGACUUGUUUGUAGAUUGGACAGCACAGUGCUUAGUGGUUAGCACUGUUGCCUCGCAGCGAGAAGGUCAUGGAUUUGAUUCCCACUUGGGGCCUUUCUGUGUGGAGUUUGCAUGUUCUCACUGUGUUUGCGUGGGUUCCCUCCGUGUGCUCCGGCUUCCACCCACAUCCAAAGACUUGCAGGUUAGAUGAAUUGGAAAUUUAAAAUUGUAUGUAAGUGUGCAUGUGGGUGUGAAUGCGUUUGUCUAUAUGUGGCCCUGCGACACACUGGUGUCCUGUCCAGGGUGUACCCCGCCUCACGCUCCAUGACUGCUAUGAUAGGCUCCAGCCGCCCCCCCUUAACCCUUAAUUGGAGUAAGCAGU